UUCCUUGUCGGGUAAGUUCCGACCUGCACGAAUGGUGUAACCAUGGCCAUGCUGUCUCCACCCGGGACUCAGUGAAAUUGAAAUCGCAGUGAAGAUGCUGUGUACCCGCACCUAGACGGAAAGACCCCGUGAACCUUUACUACAGCUUGGCACUGAACAUUGACCCUACAUGUGUAGGAUAGGUGGGAGGCUUUGAAACGUUGUCGCCAGAUAGCGUGGAGCCGACCUUGAAAUACCACCCUUGUAUGUUUGAUGUUCUAACAUUGGCCCCUUAUCGGGGUUGUGGACAGUGUCUGGUGGGUAGUUUGACUGGGGCGGUCUCCUCCCAAAUAGUAACGGAGGAGCACGAAGGUUAGCUAAUCACGGUCGGACAUCGUGAGGUUAGUGCAAUGGCAUAAGCUAGCUUAACUGCGAGACAGACACGUCGAGCAGGUACGAAAGUAGGUCAUAGUGAUCCGGUGGUUCUGAAUGGAAGGGCCAUCGCUCAACGGAUAAAAGGUACUCCGGGGAUAACAGGCUGAUACCGCCCAAGAGUUCAUAUCGACGGCGGUGUUUGGCACCUCGAUGUCGGCUC
rnacentral:rRNA from 16 species